CCUGAGUACGACGGAGCACGUGAAAUUCCGUCGGAAUCUGGGAGGACCAUCUCCUAAGGCUAAAUACUCUCUAGUGACCGAUAGUGAACCAGUACCGUGAGGGAAAGGUGAAAAGUACCCCGGAAGGGGAGUGAAAGAGAACUUGAAACCGUGUGCUUACAAGUAGUCAGAGCCCGUUAAUGGGUGAUGGCGUGCCUUUUGUAGAAUGAACCGGCGAGUUACGAUCUGAUGCAAGGUUAAGCAGAAAAUGUGGAGCCGUAGCGAAAGCGAGUCUGAAUAGGGCGAAUGAGUAUUUGGUCGUAGACCCGAAACCAGGUGAUCUACCCUUGGUCAGGUUGAAGUUCAGGUAACACUGAAUGGAGGACCGAACCGACUUACGUUGAAAAGUGAGCGGAUGAACUGAGGGUAGCGGAGAAAUUCCAAUCGAACUUGGAGAUAGCUGGUUCUCUCCGAAAUAGCUUUAGGGCUAGCCUCAAGUGAUGAUUAUUGGAGGUAGAGCACUGUUUGGACGAGGGGCCCCUCUCGGGUUACCGAAUUCAGACAAACUCCGAAUGCCAAAUAAUUUA
rnacentral:rRNA from 1 species